UACGUAGGGGGCCAGCGUUGCUCGGAAUUACUGGGCGUAAAGGGUGCGUAGGUGGCGCCGUAAGUCAGGUGUGAAAUUUCGGAGCUUAACUCCGAAACUGCAUUUGAUACUGCGGUGCUUGAGGACUGGAGAGGAGACUGGAAUUUACGGUGUAGCAGUGAAAUGCGUAGAGAUCGUAAGGAAGACCAGUGGCGAAGGCGGGUCUCUGGACAGUUCCUGACACUGAGGCACGAAGGCCAGGGGAGCAAACGGG
rnacentral:rRNA from 1 species